rnacentral:rRNA from 1 species
GUAGGGUGCAGGCGUUAAUCGGAAUUACUGGGCGUAAAGCGUGCGCAGGCGGUUUCUUAAGACAGAUGUGAAAUCCCCGGGCUUAACCUGGGAACUGCGUUUGUAACUGSCAAGCUAGAGUGUGGCAGAGGGGGGURGAAUUCCARGUGUAGCAGUGAAAUGCGUAGAUAUGUGGAGGAACACCGAUGGCGAAGGCAGCCCCCUGGGYCAACACUGACGCUCAUGCACGAAAGCGUGGGGAGCAAACAGGAUUAGAUACC